rnacentral:rRNA from 1 species
CCUACGUGAGGCAGCAGUGGGGAAUAUUGGGCAAUGGGCGCAAGCCUGACCCCGCAACGCCGCGUGAAGGACGAAGGCUUUCGGGUUGUAAACUUCUUUUCUCAUGGACGAAGAAAGUGACGGUACCUGAGGAAUAAGCCACGGCUAACUACGUGCCAGCAGCCGCGGUAAUACGUAGGUUGCAAGCGUUAUCCGUAUUUACUGGGUGUAAAGGGCGUGUAGGCGGGGAAGCAAGUCAGAUGUGAAAACCACGGGCUCAACCGGGGGCCUGCAUUUGAAACUGUUUUUCUUGAGUACUGGAGAGGCAGACGGAAUUCCUAGUGUAGCGGUGAAAUGCGUAGAUAUUAGGAGGAACACCAGUGGCGAAGGCGGUCUGCUGGACAGCAACUGACGCUGAGGCGCGAAAGCGUGGGGAGCAAACAGGAUUAGAUACCCGAGUAGUC